AACGAACGCUGGCGGCGCGCCUAAUACAUGCAAGUCGAGCGAGAAGACGUAGCAAUACGUUUGUAAAGCGGCGAACGGGUGAGGAAUACAUGGGUAACCUACCCUCGAGUGGGGAAUAACUAGCCGAAAGGUUAGCUAAUACCGCGUACGCUCCUUGGACUUCGGUUCAGGGAGGAAAGCGAUACCGUGGGUAUCGCGCUCUUGGAUGGGCUCAUGUCCUAUCAGCUUGUUGGUGAGGUAACGGCUCACCAAGGCUUCGACGGGUAGCUGGUCUGAGAGGACAAUCAGCCACACUGGCACUGCGACACGGGCCAGACUCCUACGGGAGGCAGCAGUAAGGAAUAUUGCGCAAUGGGCGAAAGCCUGACGCAGCGACGCCGCGUGGGGGAGUGAAGGUCUCGGAUUGUAAACCCCUUUCGGGAGGGAAGAUGGAACGAGCAAUCGUUCGGACGGUACCUCCAGAAGC
rnacentral:rRNA from 1 species